AUAUUGGACAAUGGGGGCAACCCUGAUCCAGCCAUGCCGCGUGAGUUAUGCAGGACUUAGCGUUGUAAAGCUUCUUCAGUGGGGAAGAUAAUGACGGUACCCAAACAAGAAGCACCGGCUAACUUCGUGCCAGCAGCCGCGGUAAUACGAAGGGGGCUAGCGUUGUUCGGAUUUACUGGGCGUAAAGCGCACGUAGGCGGAUUGGUCAGUUAGGGGUGAAAUCCCGAAGCUCAACUCCGGAACUGCCUUUAAUACUGCCAGUCUAGAGUCCGAGAGAGGUGAGUGGAACUCCUAGUGUAGAGGUGGAAUUCGUAGAUAUUAGGAAGAACACCAGUGGCGAAGGCGGCUCACUGGCUCGGUACUGACGCUGAGGUGCGAAAGCGUGGGGAGCAAAC
rnacentral:rRNA from 1 species